GCAUCCACAGUACAGUGCUUUGUUGGGCCUUCUGGGUCUAGUUUUGUUCUUUGGAGCGAGUUCAACUGCCCAGCCAGCUGAGGAAGUUUCUCCCAGAUUUGUGGACAUUAGCCCCAAUAGCCUGAUAUUUAUCAAUAACAUAUAUUACUACAUUGAGUCCUCGGCCCUUAAGAACUGGUUUAAUGCCCUCGAAGCCUGCAAGAAAAUUGGCUAUGAAUUAGUCUCGCUUCAGACUGAAGAGAAAUACAACGUGUUGGUUGAUUUUCUGGUCUCUUCUGGGCAAUCACUAUAUUUUUGGACCUCUGGAAAUGACCUCUACACUUUGGGAACACACCAUUGGUAUCCCAGUAAUGUGACAGUCUUAGCCAGCCUUUGGGGAAACAGGCAACCAGACAAUGCAGGUGGAGUGGAACACUGCGAUGCACUUUGGAAGAUAAGUAACAAUUACACCCUGAAGGACGACAACUGCAAUAUAGCUAAAAAUUAUAUUUGUGAGCUGGCAGCUCCUUCUACUUCCCCUUGAUUCUUAAACAAAACUAUAUAUUUUAGCACCAAAUUCUUAUUAUAUUUAUUAUUUCAACCUUACUGAACUUGUAUUUUAUGCUUUUAACUGAUUAAACCGAAAUAUUAUUCAA